GGGAUAUUGUGUGUAGAUUGAUGAGGGGGAAAAAACAAUACAUUUUUUAAAAUAAGGCUGUAAUGUAACAAAAUGUGGAAAAGGUCAAGGGGUCUGAAUACUUUCCGAAUGCACUGUAUGUUACAAAUUUACCACCAAUAAAACAUUUGAACUGAGUAAAAUCAAAGGCAUUACUGUGUUGACAACUCAUACGACAAGAUUUGAUUCGAUUGAAAGAAGAGAAAAAAGUAUUUUGCUGUAAUGGUGGUGGUUUCUAUUUCAGGGUCCUAGAGGCUAUAAGGGAGAGAAUUCUCCUCCAGGGGGGAUAGGAGAUGAGGGUACUAAAGGGGAGCAGGGGGAACUGGGUUCUGUUGGCCUAAUUGUGAGUAGGACACUUCCAUCCUCUGGCUCUCAAGUGCUGACAAGUGCUGCUGUAUUGACUGUGCUGUUGGCAAUAAAGAUGGUGUGGAUAAUUAAGCUUUUGGAUGAUAACUGUUUUAAUUUCAGGGGCCGGUUGGUAAAAGAGGAACCCAAGGGUUUUCAGUGUCACCUAGGCCCCAGGUAAGACUUUGCAUAACAAUCCAUAAUCCUUACAGGACAUAGCUGUGUUACAAUCUAUGCAGACACACUCUUUGAUGGUGUAGUCUUCUAGAUCGUCCUCUCCAUGACUCUCUUCUCAUUAACAAUGUAUUUCAGGGCGAUUCUGGGUAUGAUGGUGCUCAAGGUCCACUCGGGCCAAUGGUGAGUGUAGGGGUGCCAUGCAAGCACUGACUGUUCACUAUCUCAUCUACCUACCUUACCUCCGCAGUCAGCACACACUUGAUUUGGCAAAUAUGUGCAGACGUACUACUUCCAGAGGAAGACAAUGGAUGAUGGUUGUUGUUUUUUAAUUGUUUGCAUAUUCACACAUGUACUGUAUGUGCCCGAACAGGGGGCCCCAGGUGUGACUGGCAUGAUAGGAGCACAGGGGUCAAACGGCUCAAGGGUCAGUAUUUUGUUAUUACCAAUGCACAGUGGACAGUGCAUUAUAUUGAAUUUUAUUAGACAAGAGCUGAAUAACAUCCUGUAUAAGGGUUUGACUGUUUCUCUGCUGUGUUCCUCACAGAGAGAAGCAGGGCCAGCUGGACCACUUGGCUGUAAAGGGGGCCCCGGGUCCCAUAGGAUUGUCAGGAAAGAGAGGCUCUCCUGGUCUUCGAGGAAUCCAAGUAGGACAGGCCAGCUAACUUGCACAGCAAAUACACAGGCUCUGUGUCUUUCAUUUUCACUUAGUCAUUAUGAGUUUCGAUUUACUGAGUCAAGUAAAUAG
rnacentral:lncRNA from 8 species